rnacentral:tRNA from 1 species
UUGUCGUUGCGACGAUAUCGAUCGCGUUAUAACCGCGGUUGAAACUCAUUCCUUCGACGAUAUGGGAGUUCCAUUCUCCCGCGUUCAA